UGGGGUGUGGCCAAGUGGUAAGGCAGCAGACUUUGACUCUGCUAUACGCAGGUUCGAAUCCUUCCGCCCCAG
rnacentral:tRNA from 1 species